rnacentral:rRNA from 1 species
UACAGAGGGUGCAAGCGUUAAUCGGAUUUACUGGGCGUAAAGCGUGUGUAGGUGGUUGGGAAAGUCAAUUGUGAAAGCCCCGGGCUCAACUCGGGAACUGCUUUGAUACUGUCUGACUAGAAUUCGGUAGAGGGAGGCGGAACUCCAGGUGUAGCGGUGAAAUGCGUAGAUAUCUGGAAGAACACCAAUGGCGAAGGCAACCUCCUGGGCCUGAAUUGACACUGAGACACGAAAGCGUGGGGAUCAAACAGGAGUUAG